rnacentral:lncRNA from 1 species
UGAACAGGAUCAAGUGGUGGUGACCGUGGUGGCUUCAAAAAUUUUGGUGGUCACAGGGAUUAUGAACCCAGACCAGAUGCUGAUUCAGAGUCUGAUAAUUCAGAUAACAACACAAUCUUUGUGCAAGGACUUGGAGAGGGCUUGUCUACAGAUCAAGUGGGAGAGUUCUUUAAGCAAAUAGGAAUUAUCAAGACUAACAAAAAGACUGGAAAACCAAUGAUAAAUCUUUACACAGACAAAGACACAGGAAAGCUAAAAGGGGAAGCAACAGUGUCAUUUGAUGACCCUCCAUCAGCUAAGGCAGCCAUUGAUUGGUUUGAUGGAAAAGAAUUUCAUGGAAACAUCAUUAAAGUGUCAUUUGCCACGAGAAGGCCUGAAUUCAUGAG